rnacentral:lncRNA from 1 species
GAGCACUCAGACAGGAGCAUCCAGACAGGAGCACUCAUACAGGAGCACUCAGACAGGAGCAUCCAGACAGGAACAUCCAGACAGGAGCACUCAGACAGGAGCAUCCAGACAGGAGCACUCAUACAGGAGCACUCAGACAGGAGCAUCUAGACAGGAGCACUGAGACAGGAGCAUCCAGACAGGAGCACUCAAACAGGAGCACUCAGACAGGAGCACUCUGUGUGACAGCACAGACCUGGAGCCGGCCUGCGGGAGGUGGAAGCCAGCCCUGCUCUUACGAGCCGCCUGGCCUUGGGCAGGUGACAUAAUCCCUCUGUCUCUCAGUUGCCUUAUCUCUAAAUGGGGACGACAGUACCUGUAUUAUUGUCAGGAUGAAGCGUGCGUGCAUGGAAAACUCUCAGAACAGGGCUUGCUGCACAAGUCCGUAUUGCGUGUCAGCUAUUCAUCCUCAACAGACAAUUUUCGAGCGUCUGCUGUGUGCCGGAGCCCGCGUUGCACGGAGGACGCAGCAGUGCACGGACAGACUCAGGCCCCGCCCUGUGGAGCACAUGUUCUAGCCCUUCUUCGGCCCCUGGCCCUCUGUGUCCUCAGGUUUUCUUUCAGCUCUAUUGUCCCAGGGGGUCCUCAGAAAGGCCCCAUGAGGUUGGCACAAUGACCUUAUCCCCAUCUGACAGAUGCAGACACUGAGGCCGGGAGAGAACUGAUGUUCUCUUUGCACAGAGCCUCGAUCUGCUGUCACAAAUCUGUGUGUUCCUUCAACAAAGGCACUGUGACACACGUGGUCCAGAGGCCCGUGUCUCCUGAGGGCCAGCUGUGUUUCCUCUGCCUGGAAGCCCUCCAGCAAAUGAAAUCUCAACUGGGACCAACCUCUCGCCCCAGAGCAGGGACUCUCUGCAGCCCCUCACGGCAGAUGUUCUGGAGCCCCAGGUCCCAGCAGCAGAGACAGGAAUCGCCGGACCCCGGGGCCUCCGGGAGCCACGUGUGCCAGCGCAGCGCCUGCCAGCUCCCAGGCUGACCUCACAAUGGCUCCUUUCACCAGGAGAGGAGCUGGCCCGGCCCGGAGCCUGCGGGGGGAUGUCCCAGGCCCCAGGGCGUGGGGUGGGAGGUUGGAAACUGGGGAAUGGGCUGCUGAGGCUGGGAGAGCUGAAGGAUCUCAGCGCCACAUCCACCACCCGAUGUCAAGGGACUGCUUCAGGCGUAGUCUUAUGACCCAAACCAGUCCAGGGAGUUCCAUUUCCAGAUCCUGUGUUUAAACAUUUGGAGAAAUGAAUGUUUCCUCCUACUGGGCUUGGAACUGGGAGAGUGUCAGCCUGGAGCUGCCCGAAUUUGGAAAGGGCCUGCUCCAGAGUGAAGCCAACACAGGGAAAAGCAGAGAGAUGGAGGACCAAAUCCUGAUGGCAUCAUUUGAAAUCCUAGAUCCAGCUGUACCUGAAGCAGAUAAACUAAAUUUUGCAGUUUCUUGAGUCAAUCAAUUUGCUUUUCAUUUAAGCCUCUCGAGAUUGUGUUUUCUGUCUCUUGAACCCAGGAGUUCUGACCACUACAGAGGUCCUCCCUCCUCUGGCCUCAAACCACCUCUGCGGUCCCACCUGCCUUGCUCUGCCUUGCCACUCCCCCAAACGCCUGUCCUCAGCCUGAAACGUCUGUCUCCCUUCGCUCUAAAACCCCACCCAUCCGUCCGGGAGCUCACGGCCCUUCACAUGGGACAAGAGGCCGCUUCGGAGUUGGACAGACUCGAGUGCAAGUCCUGGCUGUUCCGUGCGGCACUUGAGUCACGUGCAGCAGGUCACAGAACUUCCUUGAGCCUCAGUUUCCUUAAAAUGGCAAACGCACGGUGCUUACUAUGUGCUAGGUAUUGUUCUAAGUGCUUUACGAGUCCCGGCAGUCUAGUUCUUUCAUCUCCCCCGGGGGACGGAGGCCCUGCUGUUACCCUCAUUCCAGCAAGGGGGAAACUGAGGCCUGGAGAGGAGGCGCUGGGGUGGGACUCAGACGCCGGCUCCAGUGUCAGGGCUCUCAACACCCGACGGUCUUGCCCCUCGCAAAAUGGGGGUGAUACUAGGACCUUCUUCGUAAG